CCUACGGGAGGCAGCAGUAGGGAAUAUUGCUCAAUGGGGGAAACCCUGAUGCAGCAACGCCGCGUGGAUGAUGAAGGUUUUCGGAUUGUAAACUCCUUUUGUUAGAGAAGAUAAUGACGGUAUCUAAAGAAUAAGCACCGGCUAACUCCGUGCCAGCAGCCGCGGUCAUACGGAGGGUGCAAGCGUUACUCGGAAUAACUGGGCGUAAAGAGCGCGUAGGCGGGAUAGCAAGUCAGAUGUGAAAUCCUUUGGCUUAACCAUAGAAGUGCAUUUGAAACUGUUAUUCUAGAGUAUGGGAGAGGUAGGUGGAAUUCGUGGUGUAGGGGUAAAAUCCGUAGAGAUCAAGAGGAAUACUGAUGGCGAAGGCGACCUGCUAGAACAUAACUGACGCUGAUGCGCGAAAGCGUGGGGAGCAAACAGGAUGAGAUACCCGUGUAGUC
rnacentral:rRNA from 1 species